rfam:Triticum aestivum genome assembly, contig: Triticum_aestivum_CS42_TGACv1_scaffold_641937_T_1BL-0.085781_4AL-0.071902
AUAAUACUCCCUCUGUCCCAAAAUUAUUGUCUUAGAUUUGUCUAGAUAUGGAUGUAUCCGACACUAAAGCGUGACUACAUACAUCUGUAUCUAGACAAAUCUGAGACAAGAAUUUUGGGAUGGAGGUAAUAGUUU